AACGAACGCUGGCGGCGUACUUAACACAUGCAAGUCGGACGAGAAAGGAAGCUUCGGCUUCUGAGUAAAGUGGCGUACGGGUGCGUAACACGUAAGUAAUCUACCUUGGACUCUGGGAUAACUCCCCGAAAGGGGGGCUAAGACUGGAUAGAGACCUGAGGUGCAAGCCUUGGGAGGAAAACAGGCCUCUGUAUUAUGCUUGUGGUUCAGGAUGAGCUUGCGGCCCAUUAGCUAGUGGUGGGGUAAUGGCUCACCAAGGCAACGAUGGGUAGCUGGUCUGAGAGGACGAUCAGCCACACUGGCACUGAGAUACGGGCCAGACUCCUACGGGAGGCAGCAGUGGGGAAUUUUGCGCAAUGGGCGAAAGCCUGACGCAGUAACGCCGCGUGGAGGAUGAAGGCCU
rnacentral:rRNA from 1 species